rnacentral:rRNA from 1 species
UAGGGAAUCUUCGGCAAUGGGGGGAACCCUGACGCAGCGACGCCGCGUGCGGGAUGAAGGCCUUCGGGUUGUAAAAAUCUUUUCUAUGGGAAGAAAAUGACAGUACCAUAGGAAUAAGGACCGGCUAAUUACGUGCCAGCAGCCGCGGUAAUACGUAAGGUCCGAGCGUUGUCCGGAAUCAUUGGGCGUAAAGGGUACGUAGGCGGGUAAGCAAGUUAGAAGUGAAAUCCUGUAGCUCAACUACAGUAAGCUUUUAAAACUGCUCAUCUUGAGAUAUGGAAGGGAAAGUGGAAUUCCUAGUGUAGCGGUGAAAUGCGCAGAUAUUAGGAGGAAUACCGGUGGCGAAGGCGACUUUCUGGCCAUAAUCUGACGCUGAGGUACGAAAGCGUGGGUAGCAAACAGG